UACGUAGGCAGCAAGCGUUGUUCGGAAUUACUGGGCGUAAAGAGUGUGUAGGCGGUGCUCUAAGUUCGGUGUGAAAUCUCCCGGCUCAACUGGGAGGGUGCGCCGGAAACUGGAAUGCUCGAGCGUGGGAGAGGAAAGCGGAAUUCCUGGUGUAGCGGUGAAAUGCGUAGAUAUCAGGAGGAACACCUGCGGUGUAGACGGCUUUCUGGACCAUUGCUGACGCUGAGACACGAAAGCGUGGGUAGCAAACAGG
rnacentral:rRNA from 1 species